GGAAAAAUAUUGCGAUAGAAACGUGGUUUUGGCUUUCAAGGAAAGAGGCUCUUGACUAGCAUUUUAGCUGGGAUAUUUUGCCCUUGUCCAAGCGUUACUUUCCUACUUGAUCUCCGAUGACGGAAAAGCUGAGCUCUGGAGGAAGUGCUGGGAGCCUGGUCGGAGUGUGAGCCACUGUCUGGUGGGAAAAGAUCCUGCCAAGUGACCUGGUGUAAGCUGUGAGGGGUGUAAUCCUGCAAGUGUUUGAUCCAGUGGCUUUGCUUACACUGUGGAGGUAACUCGUGCGUUAAAAGCUGAAAUUCAGUAGAAGUUGAUGAGACCACCGUGGAGAAAUGCUGGUUCACCACACUGGCUGGUACCAGCUUGAUCUGGCUCCAGCUCCGGGAUGUGCAGCCUACAGACACAGUAAUGAAAAGAAAUAUUCUGAAAAGGAUGAGUCAGCUGGAGGCCAGUGGGGAGAGCAAGUGGGAUCUGACUGGAAUUUAAAAAGUUAUGAGGCUACAUGUUGUUUUGAGCUCUGCCAGUGGAGAGAAACCCAU